rnacentral:lncRNA from 1 species
CUUGAGUAUUCUUCAUUCAUCGUGGAGGCAUAUUGACCUAUGACAAAUUUGAGCUAAUAACUUAUCCUUAAUAAAGUUAUAAACUUACUUGAGACAGGUCAGAUCAUAAUCAUCAUAACUAACCUCUCAAAUUUUCUAAUAUCUACCCAUCACUCGCUCAUUCUAUUCUACAUGUCUUUAUCUAUCUACUUAUGCUCUGAUACCAUAUUAAUUGUCACGCCCCC